GCGGUGAUGGCCAGUUGGCUAGCUUGUAGCUAUGGCUACUUACUGGCCUACAGCAGAUUUCAAGUAGUAGUAGUAGUCUUUGGAAACACUCCUAAGGUGCGCUUCGUCACUACGCGUAUCUUUUAAGAUAUCAUCAUGUUAGAAGUACCCAUAAACAAACCACUUACCACUUAAUUCAAGCGUAAUUUCAGAAUAACAAUAUUUCAGGUGACGAAUGUGGCCUAUAUGAUGCAUCAAAAAAUAAAUAGUCAUAAAUUUCGGGGUUUUUGGUUCGGGGUGUAACCCUACACUUAAAAAGUGUUUUUUUGUGAUUAAUUGUGGCAUCUCUGGAGCCGCGGCUAGCUGAGUGCCUUAUGCACUUAUUGUUCUUAUUAUUUCUUUGACUGUUUUAGCCACUGCCACUGCUGCUCGUUGUGCCGUGGCGUGCAACGAACCGCAGCGACGGAGCGCACACUGAGUACUCCGGUGUGUGCACCUCAGGCGUCCGCCUCCGUCUCCAGCUCCAGCUCCAUCUGCUCCUCCACAUCCCCCAUCAAGUAUCCACUCCAUUUCCACCUCUCAGCGGCGGCACUACCGUCACCACCGUCACCACCCCCUACGAAGCUCGCGCUCAAGAAAAGCCGGGUCGCAUGCAACCGAACUGAGCCAAGCCGAGCCCGGCUAUAUUUAGUUGGGCUGGGCCGACUGCCUUCCGUCGAGCAGAAAGAGCAAAAAGGCAGCAAGAAAACCAACUUAAUAAACGCGUGCGCAAUUUUCCUACUUUUGUAAUUCAA